GUGCUCGCUUCUGCAGCACAUAUACUAAAAUUGCAACGAUACAGAGAAGAUUAGCAUGGCCCCUGGGCAAGGAUGACACGCAAAUUCGUGAAGCAUUCCAUAUUUUU